GACGAACGCUGGCGGCGUGCUUAACACAUGCAAGUCGAACGGAUUGCUUGGUGCUUGCACUGAGUGGUUAGUGGCGAACGGGUGAGUAACACGUGAGUAACCUUCCCCCUCCUUUGGGAUAAGCAACUGAAAGGGUGUCUAAUACUGAUUAUUCUGCUGGAAUCGCAUGGUCUUGGUUGGAAAGGUUUUUCUGGUGGGGGAUGGGCUCGCGGCUUAUCAGCUUGUUGGUGGGGUAAUGGCUUACCAAGGCUUUGACGGGUAACCGGCCUGAGAGGGUGACCGGUCACAUUGGGACUGAGAUACGGCCCAGACUCCUACGGGAGGCAGCAGUGGGGAAUAUUGCACAAUGGACGAAAGUCUGAUGCAGCGACGCCGCGUGAGGGAUGAAGGCCUUCGGGUUGUAACCUUUUUCGCUUUUGACCAAGGCAGCAUUUUGGUGUUGUUGAGGGUAUGAGGUAAAGAAGCUCCGGCCAACUACGUGCCAGCCGCCGCCGUAACAC
rnacentral:rRNA from 1 species